GCACGGUUCCUUGCUUACCUCAUGGUCUGUGAGAGUUUCAAACCACCAGUGUAGAACCACCACUCGCCAAUGGCUGACACGUGUUGGCUAUCGUUGUGGUCCGGCAAGAGCGGAUUUUGGCCGUCCAUUUUGGUGACUAAUAAGAACGACUUGGGAAAUUUCUCUGGUAGAUUGAAAACAUCUUUAUUUUGAGCAGCAUAGUGUCAUUGUGGUGUCUGACUGCUGAGGAAGAAGUUGCCGAUCUAGAUGCAUUGACAUGUUUCCAUAGUGCACGAAGUAAAAAGUUAUUCAUGAACAAAUGCAGGUAGUUCAUUCUUACCUUUGUAUCCACAUUUGAAGUUAAAGACGAUGCUAUGGUGAAGCAUUUGGGUGGACCUUUUGGGAAUUCAUACAAACAAGAACUUUUUAUGACAUAGAUGAAAAAGCUGACAUAAGAUUGUGAAGGUUUCGAUGUAGAGGUGGGCAAUUUUAGCAAGUGAAAGCGGCUGUUUUCGUCAUCCCAGACCGACCCAUUCUAGUGCGAUGUUAGUUGCAGCAAUGGCAGUCAAGUAUAUUGGCGCCGAUUUGUGUCUCGACGAGCGGGAGGUCGUCUGAUUUCACUUGUUACAGUUGUUAAUCGUCCAAAGUCAAGAAGAUACCUUCUCUCACUAGGCUCUUCUUCAGCUGGAAACUCUUCAAGAGGUCGUAAAAUUACUUGAUGGCGGUGCAAAAUUCAACCAAUUCACCAUCGUCUUCUACGAGUGCCGUCAGCCUUUCAGUCAUCGUCUUUCCUGCUCUCGCAUCAUCCAUGUCUCAACUUUUGUUUCUUUAUCCAUCAACGAUUCGAUUUGAUGCCGAAAUUCUUCAAUCAGCGGCAGCGCCCAUUUCACGUGAUGAAUCUCACAUUUGGCAACC